UGAGGAAUUUUCCGCAAUGGGCGCAAGCCUGACGGAGCGACGCCGCGUGAGGGAUGAAGGCUUUCGGGUUGUAAACCUCUUUUAAGUGAGAAAAAGGUCUGGGUAUUAAUACCAUCCAGGCUUGAUGGUAUCACUGGAAUAAGCCCCGGCUAACUACGUGCCAGCAGCCGCGGUAAUACGUAGGGGGCGAGCGUUGUCCGGAGUUACUGGGCGUAAAGGGCGUGUAGGCGGUUGGAAAAGUCUGGUGUGAAAUGCUUCGGCUUAACUGGAGCGCUGCGCUGGAAACUUUCUGACUGGAGUUCGGGAGGGGUGACUGGAAUUCCCGGUGUAACGGUGAAAUGUGUAGAUAUCGGGAGGAACACCUGUGGCGAAGGCGGGUCACUGGACCGAAACUGACGCUGAGACGCGAAAGCGUGGGGAGCAAACAGG
rnacentral:rRNA from 1 species